rnacentral:rRNA from 1 species
UACAGAGGGUGCAAGCGUUAAUCGGAAUUACUGGGCGUAAAGCGUGCGUAGGUGGACGUUUAAGUCGAAUGUGAAAGCCCCGGGCUCAACCUGGGAACUGCAUCCGAUACUGGACGUCUAGAGUAUGGUAGAGGAAAGUGGAAUUCCCGGUGUAGCGGUGAAAUGCGUAGAUAUCGGGAGGAACAUCAGUGGCGAAGGCGACUUUCUGGACCAAUACUGACACUGAGGCACGAAAGCGUGGGGAGCAAACAGG